UACGUAGGGCGCAAGCGUUAUCCGGAAUUAUUGGGCGUAAAGAGCUCGUAGGCGGUUUGUCGCGUCUGCCGUGAAAGUCCGGGGCUCAACUCCGGAUCUGCGGUGGGUACGGGCAGACUAGAGUGAUGUAGGGGAGACUGGAAUUCCUGGUGUAGCGGUGAAAUGCGCAGAUAUCAGGAGGAACACCGAUGGCGAAGGCAGGUCUCUGGGCCGGCACUGACGCUGAGGAGCGAAAGCGUGGGGAGCAAACAGG
rnacentral:rRNA from 1 species